GAGUUCCCUCGGUUGUCUUAUUACUCUUGCUAGAACUUUAAGUAUUAUAUUGAAUAGAUAUGGAGAGAGUGGACAGCCUUGUCUUGUUCCUGAUUUUAACAGAAGAAAAUCAGU